GACGAACGCUGGCGGCGUGCUUAACACAUGCAAGUCGAACGGAAAGGCCCUGCUUUUGUGGGGUGCUCGAGUGGCGAACGGGUGAGUAACACGUGAGUAACCUGCCCUUGACUUUGGGAUAACUUCAGGAAACUGGGGCUAAUACCGGAUAUGAGCUCCUGCGGCAUGGUGGGGGUUGGAAAGUUUCGGCGGUUGGGGAUGGACUCGCGGCUUAUCAGCUUGUUGGUGAGGUAGUGGCUUACCACGGCUUUGACGGGUCGCCGGCCUGAGAGGGUGACCGGCCACAUUGGGACUGAGAUACGGCCCAGACUCGUACGGGAGGCAGCAGUGGGGAAUAUUGCGCAAUGGGCGGAAGCCUGAUGCAGCAACGCCGCGUGCGGGAUGACGGCCUUCGGGUUGUAAACCGCUUUCGCCUGUGACGAAGCGUGAGUGACGGUAAUGGGUAAAGAAGCACCGGCUAACUACGUG
rnacentral:rRNA from 1 species